rnacentral:tRNA from 1 species
UCCAUCUUAGCUCAGUGGGUAGAGCAUAUCCCUGGGAUAGUUAAGAUCAGCCUUUCAAAUCGGCUAGAAGGAA